UCUACUAUAUUUGUUUCCAGGUGAAAUACCCAAAGAGAUAAGCAAUCUCAUUGAGUUGGAGCUACUAAGUCUUGCAGUUAAUAGUUUUAGUGAUUCACUCCCAAUGGAGAUCUUCAAGAUAUCCUGGCUGAGAAUAAUUGAUCUUAUAGACAACAAUCUAUCAGGAAGCCUCCCACCAAACAUGUGUUCUAUCUUACCCAACAUUGAAGUGCUUUAUCUGGCCAACUUAACCAAUCUUGUUUUGAUUAAUCCUCAUUCAAUCUCCAAUUGUUCAAAACUUAAAAUUCUUGAGCUUGCCAACAACAAACUCACAGACUUGAUUCCCAAUUCUCUUGGAUAUUUGACUCAUCUACAAUUCCUAAACUUGGGGGAAAACAAUUUCACGAGCGAUUCAUCAUUAAGCUUCCUGACUUCCUUAACAAAUUGUAGAAAUUUAACAGUUCUUUAUCUACCUUUCAACCAUCUAAAUGGCAUGCUUCCAGCCUCCAUGGGAAACCUUUCCACCUUUCUUAGAAAAUUUUACGCCAACAAUUACAAAAUCAUAGGGCGAAUUCCAAAUGAAGUUGGGAACUUAAGCAGCUUAUUAGACCUUGAUAUUUCUGGAAAUAACUUUGUUGGAUUGAAUCCAACAUCAAUUGGCAACUUGAGAAACCUUCAACGCUUCAACUUGAGGAACAACAAACUUACAGGAUUUAUUAGUGAUCAUAUAUGUAUAUUGCAGCAUUUGGGUGAUAUUUACUUUGGUCAAAAUCAACUUUCUGCAUCUCUUCCUAAUUGUUUAGGGAAUAUUGCUUCCCUUAGGGAGAUACAUCUGGGUUCCAAUAAAUUGAGUUCCAUUAUACCACCAAGCUUAGGGAACCUUCAUGAUCUAGUAGUUCUUGAAUUAUCGUCAAACAAAAUCUAAAGGCUGCCACAUUGAUAGAUCUGUCAAUGAAUCAAUUCUCAAAUGAAAUUCCAAGAGAAAUUGGAGGAUUGGAAACUCUGUUGCAUGUUUCUUUGAGGCGCAACAAGUUGCAAGGAUCUAUAUCUGACUCAGUGAGCACCAUGUUUGGUUUGGAAUUUCUAGAUCUCUCUCAUAACAAUAUAUCUGGAAUCAUUCCCAGGUCAUUGGAGAAACUUCAAAAUCUGAAGUAUUUCAAUGUUUCUGAUAACAAGUUGUAUGGUGAAAUACCCUCGGGAGGUCCUUUCAAGAACCUCUCGAGUCAGUUCUUCAUCGACAAUGAAGCAUUGUGUGGUUCUUCAAGAUUUAGUGUUCCUCCAUGCCCCACUUCAUCAAAGCACAGAUCAAAUAGGAAAAAGUUUCUAGUUCUAUUUCUUUUUCUAGGACUUGCACUUUUAUUUGUUCCUCUCACUUUUGUGUUUGUUUGGAUAAAGUACAGAAGAGGUAAAAGAUCUCCUCAACAAGAUGAUUCAUUGUCUACUGCAACAAGAGAAAGAAUUUCAUACUAUGAAUUGAUCCAAAAAAUCGAUGCACUUAGCGAGUGUAAUCUGAUUGGUUCUGGAAGUUUUGGCUCUGUUUACAAAGGCGUUCUAAGAAGUGGAACUGUCAUUGCAGUAAAAGUGUUCAACCUGCAACUGGAUCCGGCAUUCAAGAGUCUUGAUACGGAAUGUGAAGUUUUGUGCAGCCUUCGCCAUAGGAAUCUCCUUAAAGUCAUUACUAGUUGUUCCAGUCUUGCUUUCAAGGCUUUAGUGCUCGAGUAUAUUCCAAAUGGAAGUCUUGAGAAGUAUUUGUAUUCAUACAACUAAUUCCUCGACAUCCGGCAGAGACUAAGCAUAAUGAUAGAUGUGGCAUGUGCUUUGGACUAUCUUCACCACGGGUGCUCGUUGCCAGUGAUAAAAUGUGACGUGAAGCCUUGUAAUGUCUUGCUGGAUGAAGAUAUGGUUGCCCACCUAAGCGACUUUGGCAUUUCAAAACUGCUUGGUGAAGAUCAGGGUAAUUUGUACACUAAAACCUUAGCUACAUUGGGGUAUAUUGCGCCAGAGUAUGGACUGGAAGGACUAGUGUCAACAAAGUGUGACGUCUAUAGUUAUGGGGUCAUGUUGCUGGAAACGUUUACUAGGAGAAAGCCUAAUGAGUUUGAGGGAGAUCUUAGCUUGAAGCAGUGUGUGAGUUAUUCACUUCCAGAUGUAGUAAUGGACGUUGUAGAUGCGAACUUGGUAACACCAAUGGGUAAAGGCUUACGGAAGGAGCAAGAUGUUGUGGCAUCAAUCAUGAAUGUGGCAUUAGAUUGUUGUGCUGAAUCUCCUGCGGAAGGACUAACAUGAAAGAUGUUGUAGGAAUGCUACAGAAGACCAAGAUUCAACUUUUUGAAUGUGGAGCAUGUAGUUCCAAAUGACUUGUUUGUUGCAAAUUUUUGCUAAAAUGUUGGUUAUUUUUUUGGUUUUAGCACUUGAUUUGUGCAUUGAUUCUGUUUCCAGG